ACUCCUACGGGAGGCAGCAGUAGGGAAUCUUGCGCAAUGGGCGAAAGGUCUGACGCAGCGACAACGCGUGAGGGACAAGGCCUUCGGGUCGUAAACCUCUGUCCUUGGGGACGAUGAUUGUCACUGGUACCGGCAGUACAAGCACCGGCUAACUACGUGCCAGCACCGCGGUAAU
rnacentral:rRNA from 1 species